UUGGCACUAAUAAUACUAGUGCUAAAACUUUUAACUUUUUGAAAGUGAUGUACAAUACGGAAAAAUUGGACCAGUUCGAAAUAAAAAACGGAUUAGUGGCUCCAAAGUACAAUGUUACUACACAAAAUAUGAACUUUGCUGUAAACAAAAAAAAACCAGAUUGCUUACAGGUUCAACUCGCUCAACCGUAUAUGCUUAGUUCAUUGAGGAUGCUAAUUAAUGACGGUGAAAGCGAAACCUGUGGUUACAUUAUACAUGUUUCGGCCAAUGAUGAAGAUUGGAAAAUUAUUGUAGAUAAAUCUAAUAAGUCGACACGAUCCAUGCAGUUGUUAAAAUUUGAUGCCACGCCAAUUGUGUACAUACGUGUUACGGCCGUUCGCACUUCAGAAAAUGAUAAACUAUUCAGUCGUGUAUUGUUGGAGGCACCCGCACAAGAAUCUCUAGAUUCUGACGUCACGCCGCUCCAACCAAAAAAGCAGCGGUCGAUAUCACGUCUUAUGGGUCAUAAUUAGCGUCAUCCUUGGUUCUAUGGUCUACUUCAAUAUGGAUCCAGUGUGUUUUAUUUAAAUCAUAUUAUAUCAUUUUCUGUUCCAACUGGAUAUGCAUCGUCUUCGUCCAAUCCGGCUGGUUACGACCAAAUCGACCACUCUCACAUCUUAGUCAACGAUAUUAGCGAUCUGUGUCUAAACAAAAAGUAUUCAGAUGUUGAUUUAGUUGUAGAUAAUGAACGAAUCCACGCCCAUCGCAUUGUAUUAGCCUCACGCAGUGAUCAGUUCAG